rnacentral:rRNA from 1 species
CACCGCGGUUAUACGAGAGGCCCAAGUUGACAAAGCCCGGCGUAAAGAGUGGUUAAUAGAAUAAAUACUAAAGCCGAACACCCUCAAAACCGUUAUACGUAUCCGAGGGCAGGAAGACCUUUAACGAAAGUGGCUUUAACUAAUAUGAACCCACGAAAGCUAGGAAA